rnacentral:rRNA from 1 species
CCUACGGGAGGCAGCAGUGGGGAAUAUUGCACAAUGGGGGAAACCCUGAUGCAGCGACGCCGCGUGAGUGAAGAAGUAAUUCGUUACGUAAAGCUCUAUCAGCAGGGAAGAAAAUGACGGUACCUGAGUAAGAAGCCCCGGCUAACUACGUGCCAGCAGCCGCGGUAAUACGUAGGGGGCAAGCGUUAUCCGGAUUUACUGGGUGUAAAGGGAGCGUAGACGGUGCGCCAAGUCUGGAGUGAAAUGCCGCAGCUUAACUGCGGAACUGCUUUGGAAACUGGCGAACUAGAGUGCGGGAGGGGUAAGCGGAAUUCCUAGUGUAGCGGUGAAAUGCGUAAAUAUAUGUAAGAACACCAGUGGCGAAGGCGGCUUGCUGGGUCGAUACUGACAUUGAGGCACGAAAGCGUGGGGAGCAAACAGGAUUAGAUACCCUUGUAGUC